GGAAGUAAAGUCGUAACAAGGUUUCCGUAGGUGAACCUGCGGAAGGAUCAUUAUUGUGUAACCGAGGUGCGAGGGCUGUCGCUGACCCGAAAGGUCGUGCACGCCCGAGUGCCCUCACACACAUCCAUCUCACCCCUAUGUGCACCACCGCGUGGGUCCCCCUUUGGCUUGUUCGGAGGGGGGCUUACGUUUUCACACAAACUUUGUAUGCAGUGUAGAAUGUAUUUUUUGUUUUUGCGAUCACGCAAUCAAUACAACUUUCAACAACGGAUCUCUUGGCUCUC
rnacentral:misc_RNA from 1 species